GACGAACGCUGGCGGCGUGCUUAACACAUGCAAGUCGAACGGAAAGGCCUCUUUCGGGGGGUACUCGAGUGGCGAACGGGUGAGUAACACGUGAGUAACCUGCCCUUGACUUUGGGAUAACUUCAGGAAACUGGGGCUAAUACCGGAUAGGAGCUCCUGCUGCAUGGUGGGGGUUGGAAAGUUUCGGCGGUUGGGGAUGGACUCGCGGCUUAUCAGCUUGUUGGUAGGGUAGUGGCUUACCAAGGCUUUGACGGGUAGCCGGCCUGAGAGGGUGACCGGCCACAUUGGGACUGAGGGGCGGCCCAGACACCUACGGGAGGCAGCAGUGGGGAAUAUUGAACAAGGGGUGGAAGCCGGAUGCAGAAGGGCCGUGGGCGGGAAGACGGCCUUCGGGUUGAAAACCGAUUUCGCUCAUGACGAAGCUUUGUGUGACGGUAGUGGGUAAAGAAGCACCGGCUAACUACGUG
rnacentral:rRNA from 1 species